rnacentral:lncRNA from 10 species
AGACAUUCCCCUGCACAAGCUCUCUCUCUCUUUGCCCGCUGCCAUCCACGUAAGAUGUGACUUGCUCCUCCUUGCCUUCUGCCAUGAUUGUGAGGCCUCCACAGCCAUGUGGAACUGGACCCUGUCACUGUAUUUGGGAUCCACCUGUAUGAUCCAGGCUGAUCUCUGGAGAUCCUUCACUGAAUUGUAUCUGCAAAACCCUAUUGCCAAAUAAGAUGUGCACACAGAGAGGCAGGAAGGGGUAACACGCCCAAGGCCAAAUAGCUCCCUGCAGAGCACGUUCGUCUCCAACAGAAAAUGUCUCUGCAGCUCCAACUGGACAAAGAGGCCUCUGCCUGGGGAGAGCCCUGAGCAGCCAGGACUGAGGUUGUGCAGGGAGACAGCAGACAGAGCAGAAAGGCGCAGGGAGCGUGGGAGGUGCGCUCCUGCCUUCCAGCAGCUCACAGGGGCGACCCUGUGCAUCGGAACUGCAAGAGCUCUGUGUGGGGGUGAGGGUGAGGGCCGCGGGGGUGAACUCUCCAGAGAAGGACCCAAAUUUACACUCAAGGAAUGUGUUCCAAGCAGGAGAUUUUGCCACAAAGGAAGGGAGGGAUAUUUAUGUGCCUGGCCUUAUCUCCUCUAGAUUGACUUUUCCUGAAUCACAGAGGCUCAGGGAGGAGGGAGGAGGGAGGAGGGGGAAUAGCUCUCGGGAUAAAGGAGGCCAUUGGCGAGCAGCCAUUUAAUGCCCGCCUUUAAUCUGGUGAAUAUAAUGCUACAGGCGAGGUGGCCAUUUUUCCCGACUGUAAAGAGAGAAUCUAGCCUCAUAGUCCCAAGGAGGCCCCAGACCCGGCAUCCAACAGCCGUGGCCCUGUGUGCGCAAGGGGUGCUGGGGGUGGAGAGGGCUUGGCCGGGGAUGUUCUGAGACCCCGGGAAUACUUGGUCCACCAGCAGGCCUGGGGGUCCUGCUCCCCCUGAGCUGCGACCUGGGCCACGUCUCCCCUGCUCUCCCAGCAUCCUCCACGGCAGGCUCGUUGGUCCCUGCGGGACUAGCCGUCCACUGCUGUGCUGUUAGCAGGCUGGUCCCUUGGCUUCCUAAAGAGCAGCCUCCUCCUCAUCCAACCACUGUGCUCCUAUGUCACCUUUUCUGGAAGCACCACCCCAAGCCUACAGGGAGAGCUAGCCGCCCCUCUCCUCUGUCUGUCUCCGUCUCUCCUAUUGCCUCAUUAGAGGGGGAACCAUUUCCAAGGGAGGACCCACGUCAGUUAUCUCUGGAACUUGUCAGGCCUGUUACAUGGCUGGUGUAAAAUCAAUAUUGAUGGAAGUGAAUUGGAUUAAAAUGAAACACUGAAUAGAAAUGAAAUGAAUUGAAAUGAAUUAUAAAUACACUGACUACAGGUGUAUUGAAUGAGUUGAAAGCUGACCUCCAAAAAGAGAUGGCCAUGUCCUAACCAUCGGAAACUGUGAAUGUCACCUUAUUUGGAAUAAAGAUCUUUGCAGAUAUAACCAAAUUGAGGAUCUCGGGAUGAGAUCAUCCCAGAUGAUCCUGAACCCUAAAUCUAAUGACAGUGACCUUGUAAGAGACACAUAGAAGACAGAGGAGGACCCCACAUGAAAUGGAGGCAGACAUUGGAGUGAGGCGGCUACAAGCCAAGAAACGCCUAGAGCCACCAGAGGUUGAAAAGAGGCAAAGAGUUGUCACCUAGAGCCUUUGGAAGGAAGUGUUAACCUUAAAGAAUGAGAUUCAGAAAGUGUGAUUGAGUAUAGAGUUUAUUCAAGUGCAAAGCUUAAGGAUGGCUACCAGUGAAAGUACCAACUCCAAAGGAAUGGGCUCAGAGUUUCCAACGUGGAGGAGUUAAGGUUUCAUUGAUAUCAGUAGAGAAGUUCCAGGAAGAUUACAUCAGCUACCCUACAAGGCCAGGUGCAUACAUCACAGCAAUUGGAUUGGUUACAGAUUGCUUCAUACCAAGGAAGAUUACUUUAUUACUCCAUGAGGAGGGGCAAUGAUCUGAGGGGGUCUCAUCUCUGGUGCAGCUUGGGUCUUCUUAAUUACUAACAAGAAGAAAUAAAGGCAGAAGUUGCAGCUGCAACCCAUGUGACCGAGAUUGCAUAGCCACAUUGCUCUCAAGGCUCAGGUUAAUUCGAGGUUUCAACAGCUUUAAGCUUGAAUUAUUUAACUUCACAUUUCCCCCUUUUCAUCAAGAUCUUUGGAAGAAAGCUUCAUAGAUGAACUCAAAUGGUUUUGGCUCCUUUUAUGUUCAGGACCUUAGUCCCUUAUUGCUAGAAGGCUCAUUCCUAGAGUGUCAUGUCCAUGGUAGGGGGAAUGUCAGGCUAUCAACCUGAUAAGGUAGCAACCUAAUUUAAAGCAAUAUGAGGGAAGUGACUUUGUGACCUGAGUCAGGCUACUCCGCUGCAUCUUCAGUUAAUGCAGUUCUUCAAGUGACCAUUAAUUUCAUUUCUUCAGUUGUGAGUUGACUCCCUUGCAAAUACAUUCUGUAGCAGCAGUGAAGACAAAAAGAAGGCAAAACCCGCUGGGCACAGUGGCUCAUGCCUGUAAUCCCAACACUUUGGGUGGCCAAGGUGGGUGGAUCACUUGAGGUCAGGAGUUCGAGACCAGCCUAGCCAACAUGGUGAAACCCCGUCUCUACUAAAAACACAAAAAUUAGCCGGGCUUGGUGGUGGGCACCUGUAAUCCCAGCUACUUGGGAGGCUGAGGCAGGAGAAUCGCUUGAACCUGGGAGGCGAAGGUUGCAGUGAGCCGAGGUUGUGCCAUUACACUCCAGCCUGGGUGACAGAGUGAGACUCCGUCUCAAAAAAGAAAAAAAAAAGAAGAAGACAAAACCAAACAAUGAUGAUAAUUUCUAGAACGAGUAAUAGCUUUUGCCACCAAGUUUCCCAAGAUCCCAACCAGCUGCUUAGCCAGUCGUUUAGGGAGGGCAUUGGAUCUGAAAGGAUAAUUAUUUGAGUUUUCAUAUCAGCCAUCAAUUUAGUGAUGUUACCUGGGAUAUAGAUACAGCAGCCAGUUUUUAUGAUAGCAUAGGUUCCCCCUUGGGCUGCAGUGAGUAUGUCUAAAGUCAUAUGGUGUCAGGUAAAUGCACCUGACAGCAAACAUUUAAGCAUAUCCUUAGACUGACCCUGUGUGGAAGAUGCACCUGAAUGUGUGUUCCCAACUAGAGAACCUGGGAGUGGACAACCUGGAGAUUCAUUCCGUAUCUAUGGUAAACAUCUGAGUUCCCAUCCCAUCCCAUUGAAUGUGGGCCAUACAGGGCACUGAGGUUCUGAGUUUUGGGUUAAAUGAAGGUUGCCAGGUGUAGGUUGUUAAGGGGAGAAAGUGUUAAGUGAAAAUGCUAUAUGAACUGCAUGCUGUUUGCAAGCAUUUGUGGUUUCCCUGCUCAGCCUGCCAUCACUAGAGCCUUUCUUUUUUUUUUCCGACAGAGUUUCAC